GUCCACGCCCUAAACGAUGUCAACUGGUUGUUGGGUCUUCACUGACUCAGUAACGAAGCUAACGCGUGAAGUUGACCGCCUGGGGAGUACGGCCGCAAGGUUGAAACUCAAAAGGAAUUGACGGGGACCCGCACAAGCGGUGGAUGAUGUGGUUUAAUUCGAUGCAACGCGAAAAACCUUACCCACCUUUGACAUGUACGGAAUUUGCCAGAGAUGGCUUAGUGCUCGAAAAGAGAGCCGUAAACACAGGUGCUGCAUGGCUGUCGU
rnacentral:rRNA from 1 species